rnacentral:rRNA from 1 species
GAUGAACGCUGGCGGCGUGCCUAAUACAUGCAAGUCGAGCGAACAGACGAGGAGCUUGCUCCUCUGACGUUAGCGGCGGACGGGUGAGUAACACGUGGAUAACCUACCUAUAAGACUGGGAUAACUUCGGGAAACCGGAGCUAAUACCGGAUAAUAUAUUGAACCGCAUGGGUCAAUAGUGAAAGACGGUUUUGCUGUCUCUUAUAGAUGGAUCCGCGCCGCAUUAGCUAGUUGGUAAGGUAACGGCUUAUCAAGGCAACGAUGCGUAGCCGACCUGAGAGGGUGAUCGGCCACACUGGAGCUUGGACACGGUCCAGACUCCUACGGGAGGCAGCAGUAGGGAAUCUUCCGCAAUGGGCGAAAGCUUGACGGAGCAACGCCGCGUGAGUGAUGAAGGUCUUCGGAUCGUAAAACUCUGUUAUUAGUGAAGAACAAAUGUGUAAGUAACUAUGCACGUCUUGACGGUACCUAAUCAGAAAGCCACGGCUAACUACGUG